CUUAGUGUCAGGACGUUCAAAAGGUAGAAAAGCAAGGGAACAACGGCAGAAGUGACAAAGCCAAAGAAAUGUAGUUAGCAGAAGAUGAAGCCACACACAUGCUGGUGAUGGGACGCAAGCCCUGGAUAACACUGUUCAUAGAAGUUUAUUGCACUGACAGCUUUGGCAACAGCAUCAAAGACAAGCACGGGCAGAUGAAGAAUAGAAGUUCCAUGGCAUGUGUUGGAUAUCACAUUUCAGUUCAGUGGAAAUCCUGCAAACGUCUCUAGAUGGCGCAGAUGCAGCGCGGCGCAGUCCACCCCAUCGGGACUGUAUUAGAUCUCUAAUUGAUGCCUCUCCCCUCGUCGCUGACAGUUACGCACAAACCAGGAUCAGGUCGCGGAAUUUAGCGCGACCUGAAGAGGUGGCGUAGACCGUCUUCAGAGCCUACAGUGGAUUAAAAACAUAAUGAGAGCAUGGCUGAGAAAGUAAAACACACCAGGGCCAUAGGAAGAAGAAGAAGAGAAGAAAAAGAAGAAAUCUCACACAACGAAUUCUUUUUUUUAACCAGUUUUGCUUUGUUUUAUUUUAUUAUUUGCUAUUUGCUAUAUAAAAACACUAUUAGUAAACGUGUAUGAAUUUAUAAAAGCUUGGACUGAAAUAAGUUUGAGGAUGAAAUAUAUAAACAUUACAAGCUGAAUAAUUUUUGGAUGAUCUCUGUAAGUAUAUUGUUAUGUUUGUGUCAAACAGGAAUGUUAUAUGAAUUAUUUCUCCGGUUGCCCAGAAGUCACCUUUCUCUGUGGUCAAUAAAGGUGUUGACAUCGUCA